rnacentral:rRNA from 1 species
UACAGAGGGUGCGAACGUUGUUCGGAAUUAUUGGGCGUAAAGCGCUGGUAGGUGGCUUGUUAAGUCGCGUGUGAAAGCUCCAGGCUCAACCUGGAAAGUGCGCGCGAAACUGGCGAGCUUGAGUGCCGGAGAGGGUCGCGGAAUUCCCGGUGUAGAGGUGAAAUUCGUAGAUAUCGGGAGGAACACCAGAGGCGAAGGCGGCAACCUGGAAGGUAACUGACACUGAGCAGCGAAAGCGUGGGGAGCGAACAGG